UAAAAUGUGGGGAAAAGAAGUAAAAAUGUUAUUCAGUUGUGUUUUUUGCUGUGAUUCCAAAAAAUGUUAAAAACAGAAAUUCCACCACAUUAAACAUGCUUUGAAGUUGAUUGAUAAAUUCAAGAACGGUUCAUUUAUUAAUGAUUCAGUACUUAUUUUUACUGUAAACAGGUGAAACUCAUAUUUGUGAAAUGUUAUAAGGCUUCGCUCGUCCCUCAUAUCUGAUAUUUGUAAGACAGCCAGCCCUGUGAAAACAUAUGUGAGUGUUUCUCUGAUAGCCUCUAACUGUGCCUACACGCACUGUUGACAAAAGCUGUUUACGGCAAUCUGGAUCGUAGCGAAAAAAUUCCACGUUGCCCUGCCAGAGUUAUUUGUGGUCUGGACAGCGUGAGCAUGUCCCUGAUGCUUGUGUUGUUUUUAAUGAGAUGAUGAUCCACUGCCUGCCAAAGCACUGCAUCUGUGAUUCAAACAACACUAAGGCUGCGAGCUCGGAGGAAGUGCUGGUCUUCCCAUAAACGAAAUUAAUGAUGUGUCAGAAUCCAGGCUUACUACUGUGAAUGGUUUUUGUGGAAGUGGACCACACUACAAUCGAGGUGGCUUUUCUGUUUAACCCUAAACAGAAGCAUAAAGAGGUACUGAAGCCACUCUGAAGAGAGAUCCUCCUUCUGACCAGCAUAGAGACAUCUUUAGGUCCACAGCUAAGAAAUGAUUGCCACGUUCCUGGCCCUCUGUGCUGAACACUCCAUUAAAUUUAGGUUAAACAGUCAAACAGUGACGGGACUUAACAACAAUUAAAAGAGAAUCAUCAACGGGAGUCAUCCUAGUUCAUGCUUUUAAUAAAUAGUGUUAACAAAUAAUAUCGUUGUACA
ensembl:lncRNA